UCCGUAGGUGAACCUGCGGAGGGAUCAUUACCGAGUUUACAACUCCCAAACCCUUAUGUGAACCGUACCUAUCGUUGCUUCGGCGGGAACGCCCCGGCGCCCUGCGCCCGGAUCCAGGCGCCCGCCGGAGACCCCAAACUCUUGUGUUUUUUUCAGUAUUCUCUGAGUGGCAAACGCAAAAAUAAAUCAAAACUUUUAACAACGGAUCUCUUGGCUCUGGCAUCGAUGAAGAACGCAGCGAAAUGCGAUAAGUAAUGUGAAUUGCAGAAUUCAGUGAAUCAUCGAAUCUUUGAACGCACAUUGCGCCCGUUAGCAUUCUAGCGGGCAUGCCUGUCCGAGCGUCAUUUCAACCCUCAGGGUCCCCGUUCCGGCGGGGAACCUGGUGUUGGGGAUCGGCCCGCCCCGCGCGGCGCCGUCCCCCAAAUUCAGUGGCGGUCUCGCUGCAGCCUCCCCUGCGUAGUAGUUACAACCUCGCAUCGGAGCUCAGCGCGGCCACGCCGUAAAACCCCCGACUUUCUGAACGUUGACCUCGGAUCAGGUAGGAAUACCCGCUGAACUUAAGCAUAUCAAUAAGCGGAGGA
rnacentral:rRNA from 1 species